AACGAACGCUGGCGGCAUGCCUCACACAUGCAAGUCGAACGAGACCCUCGGGUCUAGUGGCGCACGGGUGCGUAACGCGUGGGAACCUGCCCUUAGGUUCGGAAUAACUCCCCGAAAGGGGUGCUAAUACCGGACCAUCUCUUCGGACCAAAGAUUUAUCGCCUUUGGAUGGGCCCGCGUUGGAUUAGCUAGUUGUUAGGGUAAAAGCCUACCAAGGCGACGAGCCAUAGCUGGUCAGAGAGGAUGAUCUCCGCCACUGGGUAUGAGACACGCCCCAGAUUCCUAAGGGGCGCAGGAGGUGGGAAUAUUGGAUUGUUGGCGAAAGUGUGGUCCAGCAUCGCCGCGUGAGAGAUGAAGGCCGUAGGGUUGUAUAGCACAAUUACCCGGGCUGAUAAUGACAGUACCGGGAGAAUAAGCUCCGGCUAGCUCCGUG
rnacentral:rRNA from 1 species